AGCGAACGCUGGCGGCAGGCUUAACACAUGCAAGUCGAGCGGGCGUAGCAAUACGUCAGCGGCAGACGGGUGAGUAACGCGUGGGAACGUACCUUUUGGUUCGGAACAACCCAGGGAAACUUGGGCUAAUACCGGAUAAGCCCUUACGGGGAAAGAUUUAUCGCCGAAAGAUCGGCCCGCGUCUGAUUAGCUAGUUGGUGAGGUAACGGCUCACCAAGGCGACGAUCAGUAGCUGGUCUGAGAGGAUGAUCAGCCACAUUGGGACUGAGACACGGCCCAAACUCCUACGGGAGGCAGCAGUGGGGAAUAUUGGACAAUGGGCGCAAGCCUGAUCCAGCCAUGCCGCGUGAGUGAUGAAGGCCCUAGGGUUGUAAAGCUCUUUUGUGCGGGAAGAUAAUGACGGUACCGCAAGAAUAAGCCCCGGCUAACUUCGUGCCAGCAGCCGCUAGCCGCAGUAAG
rnacentral:rRNA from 1 species